rnacentral:lncRNA from 1 species
AUGAUCCCAUGGCGAAAGUUGAAGCCCCACUCCAUGUUCUGGUGGCAAAAAGCUUCUCCAAGCGACCUCUUGGGGAUCCCUUCUGGCUAUCUUCUGGAAAAUAGGAGAUUAAAAACAUGUGUGUUCCCACAACGCUGCAUUCUGAAGCUGUUUCAUCUCCUCAUCCUGCCCCCAUGUUUUCUUCCCCAUACCUACUUUUCUAAAGUGAUUAAAAUGAAAAGCAUUUCAAGACCUUCUUUCCAUCCUUUAAAAGUGUUUAAAGAAGAGUCCAUAGGCACUGUGAUCUCCAAAGACAAUCUCAAUUAA